GAUAACAAUGCAAAGUUUAAUUUUGCUUUGAAUAAUUUAGUUUUAUACAUUUAGUAAUUGUAUGUACAUUUGCUUUAUAUUUUCAGGAUGGAGAAAGAUGUUCACUGUGGAUCAAAAAUUCAAAACAGAGGACUUUUAUAUACAAACAAAAAUACUUGUACAACAGUAAUCAAAUGGAAUGUCUAUGUGAUUGCAACCACACAUUUUAAUGGAGUGAUGUUGAAAGCAAAGUUAUUUUUGUUAAUAGAAAACAAUAGGACUACAAUAUACUACUAAUUAGGGUACACAACACAUCAGAAGAAUAAUUUUACAGGAGGAUACAAAUUUUAAUACCUGGAAUCAGCAAUUUAUAUGAAAUUUGUAAAGAGAGAUAUAUUCACGUAAAGAGUGGAAAACCCCACCAGAUAACCCAGUUGAACUUGGUUCAAGUGAUUAUUUGCAGACAUUUUUGUUGAACUAAAUAAUGCAAAAUUUUAUAAAUGAAACUUUAGCAGACUAUGAGCUCCAAAGUGUUGUAAUUAGAGGAAUUUUAAAUAUGUGAGACUCAUCAACAUUAAACUGUGCAUAAGUGAAAUGUAACAAUAUUUUGUAAAAGAAUCAGAUUAUUAACUCAGUUGUUUUCAUGAAAUUUUUUAUCAAAGCAAUAUCACUUUUAUAUAAUCAACAUGAUUAAAAAGAUUCCAUAUGU